GCCCGCAUAGCUCAAUCGGUAGAGCAGGACACUCUUAAUGUCAAGGUUCUAGGUUCGAUUCCUAGUGCGGGUACCA
rnacentral:tRNA from 1 species